GCUUUUAAAGGAUAAUAGUAAUCCGCUGGCCUUAGGUGCCAUCAAUCCUGGUGCAAAUCCAAGUAGAAGCU
rnacentral:tRNA from 2 species